CAAAUCCUCCUCCAGACAGAAGGUCAGCACUUACAUGAGCUCCCCUCCUGCUUCUCUCAAGCUGCUUUGUUCAGUCACAUGGUAGCAACUAUGAAGUAAAGAGCCCUGAGCUCAGCCUAUUCCACUCAACAUGGGAGCUUAUUACCUUCUCUAAGGUAAACGAAUCAAGCUUCCAUCUCUUUUUUGGAAGAAAAGUUGUGGGGUUCAAGACAAAGCUAUUUUAUCACAUAAUGGUAGAAUAUUAACUUUAACAAUAUACACGUUGAAUGGAAAAUAGAUUCUGAAGAGAAAUUUGUAUCAUUGAGAUUCAUGCCUAUAACCUUCCUGCACUCUCUAAUAAUGCAACCUUUGUAUUUUCUAUUGACCAUGAGAGCUGAAUUCAUAUUAAACCUGUACUAGCAUACUUAAUGUACUAUCACAUGCACCCAUACCUAACUAGCUGUAGUUCUUUCCUCCCUUUAAUUAUACUUGAUGGGUCAAAUCCAACGGAAAUGUGAACUAUGUCCUUGGAAAAACUAUAACUAGAUCUUUAUAAAUAUUGCAAAAACAAUAAUGUUUGCAUCAGUAUGGUGAGCCAGUACCAAAGAGCCUGAAGAAUAUAAAUUGGAUGUUCCCUUGAAGAAUUGGAAAAGGUUAAAAUUCAUCAUUCUAACUGAUAGGCUUUCUUAGAAAAAUAAUAGGUGCAUUGAAUACAAAAUACUGUGUUAAUUUUUUAGAUCCUUGCACUGUAUAUUCUUUUUCAAAAAGUGCUAUCUUACAGAAAUUCAUAUCUCAUGUUUUAAUACUUUUUAAAUUAUUUUAUUCUAUUUUCUUAAACACACAAUAGCUCCUUGC
rnacentral:lncRNA from 11 species